UGGGGAAUUUUGGACAAUGGGGGAAACCCUGAUCCAGCCAUCCCGCGUGUGCGAUGAAGGCCUUCGGGUUGUAAAGCACUUUUGGCAGGAAAGAAACGUCGCGGGUUAAUACCCCGCGAAACUGACGGUACCUGCAGAAUAAGCACCGGCUAACUACGUGCCAGCAGCCGCGGUAAUACGUAGGGUGCAAGCGUUAAUCGGAAUUACUGGGCGUAAAGCGUGCGCAGGCGGUUCGGAAAGAAAGAUGUGAAAUCCCAGAGCUUAACUUUGGAACUGCAUUUUUAACUACCGGGCUAGAGUGUGUCAGAGGGAGGUGGAAUUCCGCGUGUAGCAGUGAAAUGCGUAGAUAUGCGGAGGAACACCGAUGGCGAAGGCAGCCUCCUGGGAUAACACUGACGCUCACGCACGAAAGCGUGGGGAGCAAACAGGAUUAGAUACCCUGGUAGUCCACGCCCUAAACGAUGUCAACUAGCUGUUGGGGCCUUCGGGCCUUGGUAGCGCAGCUAACGCGUGAAGUUGACCGCCUGGGGAGUACGGUCGCAAGAUUAAAACUUAAAUGAAUUGACGGGGGUCAUAGCUGUUU
rnacentral:rRNA from 1 species